rnacentral:rRNA from 1 species
AUUGAACGCUGGCGGCACGCCUAACACAUGCAAGUCGAACGAGUGGCGGACGGGUGAGUAAUGUCUGGGAAACUGCCUGAUGGAGGGGGAUAACUACUGGAAACGGUAGCUAAUACCGCAUACCAUCGGAUGUGCCCAGAUGGGAUUAGCUAGUAGGUGGGGUAAAGGCUCACCUAGGCGACGAUCCCUAGCUGGUCUGAGAGGAUGACCAGCCAAACUGGACUUGAGACACGGUCCCGACUCCUACGGGAGGCAGCGGUGGGGAAUGUUGCACAAUUGGAGCAAGCCUGAUGCAGCCAUGCCGCUUGUAUGAAGAAGGCCUUCGGUUUGUAAAGUACUUUCAGCGGGAAGGCGUUACCCGCAGAAGAAGCACCGGCUAACUCCGUGCCAGCAGCCGCGGUAAUUC